ACAAGAAUUCAUUCACUCUCUACCCUCCAGAUCCAUAGGGGAGCAUAUUUCACCACCUCACUGAUAUUGGACUUGGACUUGUAACUUGCUUUGGUCAGUUGGAGUUGGUAGAUACACUGAGAGAAAAGGUUUGAAAUUGCAAUCCUAUUGCAUUUUUCCCUGCUUUUGCAGCAAGGAUAGUAUGACUCAGGUAGCUGCUGGUUCAAAGAUGAGGAGAGACAUCAGACACAGAUCUGGAACCAAGGCAGAAUUUGGACCCAACGUUCAGUCCUACCAUUUCCAGUCAACUCCAGGAACAACCAGUUGGAAAAUUAUUGUUGAUUGUUGAAUGCUCCUGGGAUUUUUUUGCUAGGUAAAUAUCAAAUUCUGAUUCAUUAAUAUUGCUAGGUAAAUAUCAAACUCUGAUACAUUAAAUACCGAUAAGGUAAAGAAGCAAGGAAAUUUUGAUUUAAAAUAUUCUAAGUUCCUCAAGUGAUUUUGGAGAGGGGCUAUUGCUUAACUUUUAGAAAAUUAUUAUUGAC
rnacentral:lncRNA from 1 species